rnacentral:rRNA from 1 species
UACAGAGGGGGCAAGCGUUGUCCGGAAUUACUGGGCGUAAAGGGCGCGUAGGCGGCUUUCUAAGUCGAACGUGAAAUCCCCGGGCUCAACCCGGGAACUGCGUCCGAUACUGGAAGGCUUGAAUCCGGGAGAGGGAUGUGGAAUUCCAGGUGUAGCGGUGAAAUGCGUAGAUAUCAGGAGGAACACCGGUGGCGAAGGCGGAUCUCUGGGCCUUACCUGACGCUGAGGCGCGAAAGCUAGGGGAGCGAACAGG